rfam:Eubacterium biforme DSM 3989 Scfld5 genomic scaffold, whole genome shotgun sequence.
AUGGACUUGCAACCGCCCAGAAAAGGUUUUAAGUUGUUAAUUCACACCUUGAUGGCGAGUAUCAAGCUAAAU